rnacentral:tmRNA from 1 species
GGGGGCGUAUUGGUUUCGACGGGGGAAGAAUUGGCAAGAGUAGCGAGCCGGGAUCCCACCAGCCCGAAAUACGGUGGACCAAAGUUAAUUGGCAAAAACGAUUACGCUUUAGCUGCUUAAUCGCAGUCUAACAUCCUGACCUCUGCUCCCGCGGUGAGGCUCGGGGUGUCAAAAUUAGCGGGAUGGUCUAAACCCAAUUCUCGGAGGGUUUAGACGAGAUUCAUCGAGAUAGCUUCUGCGCAGCCUGUCUGUAGGCGUCAAGGAAGCGAAAUUUAAACUACAGACUGCGCUCGGAGAAACUCUUGUGGGUUCUCUUUCGGACAGGGGUUCGAUUCCCCUCGCCUCCACCA